rnacentral:tRNA from 1 species
UAUUUUGUCACCUUAGGUCGAUCGGUAUCUCACAUUCUUAAUUAAUUAAGAAUUUCAUUUUCUAAGUUUUUCUAGGUCACACCCAUUAUUUUUCCUGGGCCAUUAGCUCAGGUGGUUAGAGCGCACCCCUGAUAAGGGUGAGGUCCCUGGUUCAAGUCCAGGAUGGCCCAUAUCUCUAUGUUGGGGGUAUAGCUCAGUUGGUAGAGCGCCUGCUUUGCAAGCAGGAUGUCAGCGGUUCGAGUCCGCUUACCUCCACUGAUUACCACCUCUUCCAUAAUCAAAGGAAUUGUUUUGGUUGUGAUCAAAUUUUGAACG